GCGGAGGGACAUUACUGA
rnacentral:rRNA from 1 species